GGUCGCGUGGCCCAGUGGAAAGGCGUUUGGUUUACACCCAAAAGAUCGCAGGUUCGAACCCUGCCGCGAUCA
rnacentral:tRNA from 6 species